rnacentral:lncRNA from 1 species
AUGUCACGAGUGCUGAGGUUGAGAAACACGGUGAGGCUGGAAUGACCUAAGCAGACGACAGCCACUUUCAAAGGAGACUAGAAGACAGAGGCCUGAAAGACCACACAGGAGGGAGACAGGCAACCCUCAGGGGCUCCGGACCAAUUCCCCCAACAAAGGGACGUCUUCGUCAAGACCUGAAGCAUGAGGGGUUGUUUUCCAGGCAGGAAGAGCAAAAAUGCUUUUAGCAACAAACUACUGGGAAUGGCACGGUGAAAUACUACAGAAGACACACACCAGGGAUCCCCUUUGAUACUGAUCAUCUCCAUUGCAAAUGACACAUUAUGCAAACCAGAUACACCAAAUGGGCCACGAGGAUGGAGGGGAGGGGAUCAACCCCUCAAAAGAGUCCAAGACCACGUUCUGGUAUCUAAGUCAUCACCUACACACUAACUGUAUGGUCAAGUUCCAACGUGGGAAUAUGUUUUUCUUGAUUACGGUAGGUCCAGUUUCCCUAGAGAUAAAAAUCCAAAUCACAGAAACAAGUGACCAGCCUUUAUCUGCACAUACUAAGUUGCUUUUAUUAAUCCAGAACGGCAUGCUACAGAUACUGUACAGCAUGAACAUUUAUUCAUUACAA